CCUACGGUAGGCAGCAGUGAGGAAUAUUGGUCAAUGGACGCAAGUCUGAACCAGCCAUGCCGCGUGCAGGAAGACGGCUCUAUGAGUUGUAAACUGCUUUUGUACGAGGGUAAACGCAGAUACGCGUAUCUGUCUGAAAGUAUCGUACGAAUAAGGAUCGGCUAACUCCGUGCCAGCAGCCGCGGUAAUACGGAGGAUUCAAGCGUUAUCCGGAUUUAUUGGGUUUAAAGGGUGCGUAGGCGGUCGGAUAAGUUAGAGGUGAAAUCCCGAGGCUCAACUUCGGAAUUGCAUCUGAUACUGUUCGGCUAGAGAGUAGUUGCGGUAGGCGGAAUGUAUGGUGUAGCGGUGAAAUGCUUAGAGAUCAUACAGAACACCGAUUGCGAAGGCAGCUUACCAAGCUACUUCUGACGUUGAGGCACGAAAGCGUGGGGAGCAAACAGGAUUAGAUACCCGGGUAGUC
rnacentral:rRNA from 1 species